UUAAUUGCUUCUAGAGGAGGCAUCCAAAGGGAUCGCAUUGAUCCCAGCUAACUAUUUAUGUCCAUCGCUUGGUUUGGAUCAUGCUAUCCCUUUGGAUUUCUCCUUUGGAAGCUUCAA